CGUCCUGCUACUGAAACAUCACCUCCUAUCGCCCAGCCAUUUCCUCACACGCCACCCAGAGGGAACUGUGGGAUGCAUUCAGAACUGCUAAUAAGAACAGACACGGCAUUUGAUCAUAGCCAAAAGGCCGGGAAUCAUCUGCCUGACUGCAUAUGUGAAACGUCGCACGAACCUGCAAUGACGAUUAUCCUGGUCGAGGCGCGCAGUGUUCGGCUGCAGCAUAAGCUGCAAAAAUCCUGCAGUCCGAGUCGGAGUACUGCCCGCUUAUGGGACCUAGACACCGCAUCAUAGUUCAGCUCACCUUAAGCAUUGGUCUAGUACAAAGUAUGUUUUCAACAUAUAUUUGGUAGGUGCUUAAUUCCGAAUGGAAGUGGCUCAGUGGGUGGAGAAGUAACAAGAGGAGAUCAGAGGAGUGUAUUCAUCAUAGUCACCCUGAACCGCUUUAUGGAGCAGGUAGGUAACUGCAAUGCUUGGAGCAUUUUUUGGCACUAUAGUGUUAUGCCGAGAAACGCAUGCCUGCCGAGAAUUGCAUGCCCUAUCGCGGGAACGCGCAUCGCUCUAAACUCUCUCAUAUUGAUGACCGAAGAGGCAUCCGUUUCUCGGCAUAACACCAGCGCACCCCUGCGAUUUGAUGAAUGAAUCCCUCCCCGGCCCUCUCGCCGCCCACUAACAGUGAAAUCUUGCACAGAGAAACUUGUGGAACUGGAUAGUUUCUUUCUGUUUUGCAUACUGAAGUUACCAUUUUCUACCGAGGUGGCUGCUUCCUUGUUCCCUGCGCAUUUACAGCGGAUUACAAACCUCAACCUGAAGAACCAGUUUUAUGCUGUAUUGGACCAACAUGCCUCCCAGCUCCAGAGCUUAUUUAGGAAGAAAGCUGCUUCCACUGGAAAAGUGAAUGAUGUUCUGUCUCAGCUGAGAACCCAUGAUGUCUAGGUUAGUGUUUGUUCUUGUUCUUGUUUUGAGCUUUAUUAAGUUUUACCUAUUUUUUAUUUUACAAAAUAAACCAAUGAAUGGAAGAAAAUGUUCUUAUGAUUCAGGAACGCUGAUAUUCAUGUAUGACAUGCUGUUCUUCACACCAUUUCUCCCUAUUUGCACAGACUCCUCCACAUUCAUCAAAACGUGGGAUGAAAGUUUUCAGCAAAUUUAACAAU